GGGAGCGGUCUUUUUAGGAUGCCGUUGCUGAUCUUUUUCGAUUUUUUUGGCGAUCUGACGGUUGUGAAUUCGAGCAUAACAAGCCCGGCCGGUCUCUGUCGCAGCUUGCAUCAUGGUUUCAAGAAAUAUGGGCCCGGAGAUUUGAUGGGUUGUUUUGUUUAGCCAAGGGCCUGCUUACCCCUGUACGCGGUUGAAGAUUGAUUUUUCUGUGUCUCAUCUUUGGCGUGCAGCUGGGGGGCCAGCCCAGAUCAGCUACGGUUUGGUAUUCUAACAACAAAGUUCAGUCCCAAGCCUACAGCCAGCCCUGCAGAAAAGAAUAAGACGGACGGUCCAAUACUUCACGAUAAUGAAAGAUUCAGCUACCAGUGUGCUUUCUUUCAUGCAUGGAGGUUUGGUUUAUGGUUGCAGUUGAGCCAUUAAUGCACUCGGAAUCUAGGGGCCCUCUUGAUCUCUGACAGAAAUUAGCAUCAGUUUCGUGUACAAGCCGUUUCCCUAUGUGCAUGCAUUGAUGACCGGUUAGUUGGCCUCGCUGUUAGCUUCUUCAUCAUCAGAGACGCAUAUCAUUUGCUGCCUCGCCUAUCGCGUCGUUGUUCCUGUACUCUCUAGAGCGCUAUUCUUUUGUGUAACCUUCCUUUUAAUGUUGCUCCUUUUGAUCUUAAUCGGAUAACGAUGAGCGCGUUAUUGCGGAAUAGAGCAUCGGACAGCACUCAUAUGCUGGGCUGAUGUUAACAUUUAACACUGCACUCAAGUCGAUAUAUACAGUGUUUAAUUGGACAGCUAUAGGUGAUUAUGUUAAAUUAUUGUUAUAAGCGUGUCUUAUGACUGGAAAAUGAAACAGGCUUCCUCCGCUGGGAUGGUGAUAAAUGCAGGACAUUAAUUGUUUGUUUCUCUACGCAUAUGAUAAAAUUAUGUGAUAUAUGUGACUCAAUUUGCUUU